AGUAUAGCAUAGCAGUCACAACACUUCCACAACACAUCUUCAAGUUUUCCGGGAUCUAUCCAGUUUAAAGCCUAAAAAACCGUGUGCUGAGUAUUGUAUAACACGAGUAUCUGAGUUGCUUUUCGAGUUCUGCUGAUCAAGUAAGCCAGUCCAAUUUGAAGUAAACAACAAAAUCCACAUGCACAAGACAUUUGAUAUGAAAUUGGUAUUUCACAAUAGGAGAAAACGGGCCAUUUUGAGCAUCAGAAUGAAUCUACUCACCUAUUUAUUUAGUACUUGGACUAAACAAAGGUCCAUCUAAUUCAAAUUGGCCAACAAGUCACUAGAAAAUAGAAUUUCACCUCCUUACAUUGAAAUGCAAUGCUGGAUUUAAAUUUUCCAUGCAACGUGUUCUUCCACCUCAGGCCUUAAAUAUCGGAAUUUCAGCCUAAUUAUAAUGAACCGCACUUGCAGCAACUAGAUUAAUCUGAAAGAAGCAACAGCCUGCAGAGAAUCAGAGCAUAUCAUCAUAAGGAAAAUCAAUCAUUUGAUGCUUACAUCGGCUUAUGUCUCUAUUGCCUUUAGACUGAGGUUCAUGCAUGUAGUUUGAAUGUUUACCACUCACAAAAAUAGCAAAAAUUCCUGCUUUAUAUCUCAAAAUGUCUUUGUAGUUCCAACAUGAAGUGUAAUCCUGAAUUUAAAUAUCCGUGUACAGACCAUGCUGUCCAAUUAAAGAAAUAAUUUAUAUCAAGUUAGUCGACAUUUGAGCGAGAAGAAAUUAUUCGAUAUUAAAUAAAGAAUAUAUCGAGCACGAUUGACAACACCUUAUCAUACUACGACCUUUUUUCACAUCCAAGACGUUAAACUUCAUAUAAAACCAAUGAGUUUGCCACACAAUUCUAUGAUUGAAAUGCUCAUAACUUUGUUAUAACUUCUUCGAGAUUUAUAUUUUGCCCAUUUGGCGUAGAUAUAUAUAAAUUCAAUGUAUGAAAUGAAUAUGUCAUUAUUCCUUGCACUACAAAUUUUCUUGAGCCUAUACAUAUUAUGCAAUUGGUGUGUAAUGAGUUAGAUCUGUUAAAGCUAAGUUCUCAUAAUUGAUGAAGUGUAAGAUGUCAUUCUCUCUUCGGUGAAGAUUCCUAGGACCAAGUAAAACUGGGAAUUGAGUAACUAUAGUAACAGUCCAUUUGGCAAUUAGAACUUUUAAUUUUCUUACCCGCACAGAGUAGCAAUCAUAACAUACAAAUUUCUCUUUGACAUUUCACCGAACAUCUUAUAUGCAUUCCCAAAUUAAUCACAUUUAACUUAAACACAUUGUCUCAAGUCCUUUCCUAGAUGUUUCAUAUGGCUAUUAAGCACAUUUUACCCGUAGACAAUCAAAACUACAACCAUUUCCUAGAUGUUUCAAUGGACAAUUUCAGCCCCAAAAUUGCAAUAAAUUCUUCAAAUUCUCAGCCCUGAUUUCGCAAGAAAAUCUUGACAAACAAAACAAAUGAAAUAUAAAUAAAUUACAGCAAUAUAAUCAAAUGAUUUCAAGAGCAUGAUGGUCUAACCUCGUCACCGCUAUUUUUCAUAUGCUCUUUGGUUGGCUACCACCGUUGCUAACCCUUUUGUUGUGUCUGAUAGGGGGGAAACCUUUCUCCUGAACCUGUGCUAUCUAUAAAGCAUAUUUAGCUUUUCCUCCGCGCCUAGGCAGGCCAAUUGAUUGACCGAAAUGAGAAUCAAUGCUUAGUAGAAGGCAGAAACAGAGACUGAGGCAUGAAACCUACCAGAAGAGUUCAGCCUGAAGAUAUGAUAGAAUUGCUUAGCCCGCUUGAUCAAUUUUCUAAAUUUUAGCAAAAGCUAAUCCCGUUCCAUAAGAUGAUGAUCGUACUCCUUCCUUAUCCAGGAAAAAAUUUCUACAAUCUUCCGUGAGGUGAGAAGAAAAUAAAAAGAAGGGAAGCAACUUUAGAGAGAUGUG
rnacentral:lncRNA from 1 species